CCACCAUUACUGUGAAUGAAGAUGCCAAUGAUCUUCAUAACACUGUGAUUGAUUUUAGAGACACAAAUGGUUCCACAUCAGGAAAAGAAAGUGAUGACAGCACUUCUGAUGAGGACUAUGUUCCCUCUCUCUGUCUUAGAACAGGUGAAGGAACUAAGGAUUUUCGGAAAAUUGAGGAGCUUCACGUAAUUGGUCUGGAAGAGACAGUACAUCUUACACCAGAGGAUGAAGUGCCAUUCCUAUGUGAGCAGCAUGUCCCUACAUCUUCUGCUAGCCACAAAGUCACGUGUGAGGACGACAUAAUUGGACAACGAGCAUCUAUUGUAUAUGAAGCCAAGUUGAAACAACUUGUCACACAUCUACAGCUACCUGUACUGAAGUGCAAUUUCAUAAACAAAAUUACAAAAGAAACCUGUCAGGCGUCACCACCAUUUGAAGUACAUCUGACUUCAAGGGG